GCCAGGCAUUGUGACAUGUGCCUGUAGUCCCAGCUACUUGGGAGGCUGAGGUGUGAGGAUGCCCUUCAGGUAUAUGCACUAAGUUCAGCAUCAAUAUGGUAACCUCUCAGGAGCAGGGGAGCCACCACGUUGCCUAAGGAGGCGUAAAUUGGCCCAGGGCAGAAAUGCAGAUCAAAACUCCUAUGCUGAUCAGUAGUGGGCUCAUGACUAUGAAUGCCAGUACACUUCUA
rfam:Canis lupus familiaris chromosome 1, whole genome shotgun sequence.